rnacentral:rRNA from 1 species
CAGUCGCCGCGGGAAUACGUAGGGUGCGAGCGUUGUCCGGAAUUAUUGGGCGUAAAGAGCUUGUAGGCGGUCUGUCGCGUCUGCUGUGAAAACCCGAGGCUCAACCUCGGGCCUGCAGUGGGUACGGGCAGACUAGAGUGCGGUAGGGGAGAACGGAACUCCUGGUGUAGCGGUGGAAUGCGCAGAUAUCAGGAAGAACACCGAUGGCGAAGGCAGUUCUCUGGGCCGUAACUGACGCUGAGAAGCGAAAGCGUGGGGAGCGAACAGGAUUAGAUACCCCCGUAGUCCCUGUCUCUUAUAC